UACGGGAGGCAGCAGUGGGGAAUAUUGCACAAUGGGCGCAAGCCUGAUGCAGCCAUGCCGCGUGUAUGAAGAAGGCCUUCGGGUUGUAAAGUACUUUCAGUCGUGAGGAAGGUGUUAAGGUUAAUAACCUUAGCAAUUGACGUUAGCGACAGAAGAAGCACCGGCUAACUCCGUGCCAGCAGCCGCGGUAAUACGGAGGGUGCGAGCGUUAAUCGGAAUUACUGGGCGUAAAGGGCACGCAGGCGGUUAAUUAAGUUGGAUGUGAAAUCCCCGGGCUUAACCUGGGAAUGGCAUUCAAGACUGGUUAGCUAGAGUCUUGUAGAGGGGGUAGAAUUCCAUGUGUAGCGGUGAAAUGCGUAGAGAUGUGGAGGAAUACCGGUGGCGAAGGCGGCCCCUGGACAAAGACUGACGCUCA
rnacentral:rRNA from 1 species